UACGUAGGGUGCAAGCGUUAAUCGGAAUUACUGGGCGUAAAGCGUGCGCAGGCGGUUGUGCAAGACCGAUGUGAAAUCCCCGGGCUUAACCUGGGAAUGGCAUUGGUGACUGCACGGCUAGAGUGUGUCAGAGGGGGGUAGAAUUCCACGUGUAGCAGUGAAAUGCGUAGAGAUGUGGAGGAAUACCGAUGGCGAAGGCAGCCCCCUGGGAUAACACUGACGCUC
rnacentral:rRNA from 1 species